UCGGCGCCGUAAAUAUAGGUUCGAAAGAUCUCUCUCUCGGACACAUUUUUCUUCGUGAUCUCUUCGAGGCUUCUUCGUUGAAAUUGAAUCCCGGUGAAACACAGGAGAAAAAUUCUCGGCGGCUUGUCUUGUGUUGUAGUUAGAACUUGAAGCAUACACAGUGAGAGAGCAACGGGAGCUGAAAGAUUUGUGGGAAAUGGCUUCGGUGUUGUUGUUAAUUGCGGUUUUUUUGCUCGAUCUGAUUGCUUUUGGGCUUGCUGUUGCUGCUGAGCAAAGAAGGAAUGCUGUUAUUAAGUCGUGGAUACGUAUCAUAUCCCAUUACUUCUCGGCUCUCGCGCGGUUUAUAAGAAUGGAAUAUGAAACACUGGUUACACAAGCCAUAACUUUAGAAAUCCAGCUUUCACUGAAACCAAAUGUUUUCAUCAUGGCUGCCAGAAAGCUCCAUUCUAUUCGGUCAUACGCCUUGCUGAGGUCCAAUUUCAAAGCCAUAUACCCCGAACAAGGGCGUGAUUUGGAUGAGUUUUUUCCAGUCAAUUGCCGGGAAAUUCCAAACUGAUCUGGGCAAAGCUUAGGCUGCAGAAAUAGCGUCUUGGAGAAGAGAACGACACUAGUUGUAGUUUGUUAAUGUGGUUGAAAUUUCAAGAUACAUUUGCUGCCUCGUCUCCCCUCUCUCCUGAUCAAGGUGCUGAUUCCUGGCAUUAUAUAUAUUUGUUUCAAUGAUGGAAUGGGGGCGAUUAGAUUGUUGUUUUGAGCACCAUUAACCAUUGAUUGCAGGGUAGUUGUAAGAGCUAUGCUCCUGGGUUUAGGAUGGAUUAGAAGUGGACUGCGGGAUAGUUGUAAGAGCUAUGCUUCUGGGUUUAGAAUGGAUUUGCUUUGCUUCUAGUUGCACGAAUUUCAUCUGAUGAUUUUAUCCCAUCUUAUGCUGUGUAGGUCAAACAUUGAUGAAUAAUGGAGUGGUUUUAGAGAAUGUAUUGGUAGGACAGAAAUGAUUUAGUUUAAGUAAAUUGGACGUAGCUUAACACCCGUAUAAAUCAGAUGGUUUUUAUAUGUGUAUUAUUAAUUUUAGUGGGCAUAAGGACUUUACAAAUAAUAUGGGCUUUUCACGUAAGCAACUUAGCAUGGGAAUUGGGAAAGAUGGGAAUGGGCUGACAGCAAUUUUUAGCUUUUUUUGUACAGUGCAUUGGGCCUGUUGAGCCUAUGAGUUUCUAUAAAAUCCAAACUUCUGUUGACAAAUGGUUUCGUGGUGUAGUUGGUUUUCACGUCAGUCUAACACACAGAAGGUCCCCAGUUCCAACUUCCAACUUCCAACUUCCAAGCCUGGGCGGAAUCCAUGGUUGAUAUUUUAAAGAAUUUUUUAUUUAAUGCAUUGGGCUGACAAAAACCCGCUGUUCGGUUGUCAUCUACGUAUGGAAACCCUAAGUUUGGAAUAUGCAGCACUGAACGUUCUCUCUUUCCGUGGCCUCAUUCCGAAGGCUUCUCCCUCAUUGUCUAUCUCCUAUUCAAACACACUCAGAUAGGCAUAUCUACCCAUGUAUAUUGCUCAAGUACUGAUUGUUUAUUUGACGUUUUGGCAGGUGCGCCAUUCUUCGUUGAGGAGGACCAGCAUUUUUUCGUUCUUGGACUCGAGAAGGUUUUGGAGGAGGUCUGCGGAGCUAUGUUGCAAUUUCCUCCCCUGAGCAAACUUUGUUAAAGCUGGAGGAGGAGAUUAUGUGAACACAUGCAGUUAAAAUAUCCAGCUGAGACAUGCAAGAAAUUUAAUCACGAUCCAAUUAGAGGACUGUAGGUACUACGAUAAUUAAGAAAAAUGGAUGCCUCUUGAAGUUGGAUUUCUUUGGGUCAAUUGAGCCAGACGGAUGUCACUUUGGUCGUCGCAAAUUAAAGUACUUCAGGAUAUGUUGAUUUUGUAAUUGGAUAUCACAUGCAUUUUGUUGCUGUCUAUGAUUGAGAUUGUAAUUAUCUAUGCUACGAAUUAUAUAUCUUGAGUAAUAUGUAUGAUUUAAGUAUUCUGCAAUGAUUUAAACUGAUCUAAAUCAGACAAGUACUUAUAUAUCAUG